CUGCGCCUGCAAGUCAGCAAUCCCCUUCUCAAUUUUUGCGUCCGGCCAACUAUUGCCGUAUCGUGCGUGCGCGCUUUGCUACACACGCACGACCUCGUGCGCUGCUUGCGGGGGUGGUUGCGGACGGCAAACUUAAACUUCUAAUUAAUGGCUUCUCCGGGGCAGAACAUCGUUCCUGGAAGCCAUGAAGCACUCAAUGACUACUGGCGGAAGACCCGUCUUGGUGGCCCAGUGGCUAUGCCGGUCUCGAGAGGAGCGCCGUAGCCGUGGCUCUGAAGUAUGUAUACCAUCCUUGCGUGUCCCACAGACAGCCUAGCCACUGGCGACGCAUUGCUUUCCGUGAUGCUGCACGCAUUAGCAGAGAUCACUGCAAACUGCGGCCGGUCUCCAAUUCUUCGACGCCAUUAAUCGGGACCGCUGGCUACUCUGAAUAAUCAUGACGAGUAGCCUAGUGUGCUAUCAACAAAGUUGACAUCGGCUAUUUUUGUUCCCACCCCUGUAAGAGCCUGUUAAGGCUUGCAGUAUUAAUAAAA